rnacentral:rRNA from 1 species
UACGUAGGAGGCUAACGUUAUCCGGAUUUACUGGGCGUAAAGCGCGUGCAGGCGGUUUGGUAAGUUGGACGUGAAAGCUCCCGGCUCAACUGGGAGAGGUCGUUCAAUACUGCUGGACUUGAGGAUGGUAGAGGGAGGUGGAAUUCCGGGUGUAGUGGUGAAAUGCGCAGAUAUCCGGAGGAACACCAGUGGCGAAGGCGGCCUCCUGGACCAUUCCUGACGCUAAGACGCGAAGGCUAGGGUAGCAAACGGGAUUAGAUACCCGGGUAGUCCCUGAGCGGGCU